UACGUAGGGGGCAAGCGUUGUCCGGAUUUAUUGGGCGUAAAGAGCGUGUAGGCGGCCAGGUAGGUCAGCUGUGAAAACUCGAGGCUUAACCUCGAGACGCCGGCUGAAACCCUCUGGCUAGAGUCCGGAAGAGGAGAGUGGAAUUCCUGGUGUAGCGGUGAAAUGCGCAGAUAUCAGGAAGAACACCCGUGGCGAAGGCGGCUCUCUGGGACGGUACUGACGCUGAGACGCGAAAGCGUGGGGAGCGAACAGG
rnacentral:rRNA from 1 species